GGUGGAUUAGUGGCGAACGGGUGAGUAACACGUGAGUAACCUGCCCUUAACUCUGGGAUAAGCCUGGGAAACUGGGUCUAAUACCGGAUAUGACUCCUCAUCGCAUGGUGGGGGGUGGAAAGCUUUAUUGUGGUUUUGGAUGGACUCGCGGCCUAUCAGCUUGUUGGUGAGGUAAUGGCUCACCAAGGCGACGACGGGUAGCCGGCCUGAGAGGGUGACCGGCCACACUGGGACUGAGACACGGCCCAGACUCCUACGGGAGGCAGCAGUGGGGAAUAUUGCACAAUGGGCGAAAGCCUGAUGCAGCGACGCCGCGUGAGGGAUGACGGCCUUCGGGUUGUAAACCUCUUUCAGUAGGGAAGAAGCGAAAGUGACGGUACCUGCAGAAGAAGCGCCGGCUAACUACGUGCCAGCAGCCGCGGUAAUACGUAGGGCGCAAGCGUUAUCCGGAAUUAUUGGGCGUAAAGAGCUCGUAGGCGGUUUGUCGCGUCUGCCGUGAAAGUCCGGGGCUCAACUCCGGAUCUGCGGUGGGUACGGGCAGACUAGAGUGAUGUAGGGGAGACUGGAAUUCCUGGUGUAGCGGUGAAAUGCGCAGAUAUCAGGAGGAACACCGAUGGCGAAGGCAGGUCUCUGGGCAUUAACUGACGCUGAGGAGCGAAAGCAUGGGGAGCGAACAGGAUUAGAUACCCUGGUAGUCCAUGCCGUAAACGUUGGGCACUAGGUGUGGGGGACAUUCCACGUUUUCCGCGCCGUAGCUAACGCAUUAAGUGCCCCGCCUGGGGAGUACGGCCGCAAGGCUAAAACUCAAAGGAAUUGACGGGGGCCCGCACAAGCGGCGGAGCAUGCGGAUUAAUUCGAUGCAACGCGAAGAACCUUACCAAGGCUUGACAUGAACCGGAAAUACCUGGAAACAGGUGCCCCGCUUGCGGUCGGUUUACAGGUGGUGCAUGGUUGUCGUCAGCUCGUGUCGUGAGAUGUUGGGUUAAGUCCCGCAACGAGCGCAACCCUCGUUCUAUGUUGCCAGCGCGUUAUGGCGGGGACUCAUAGGAGACUGCCGGGGUCAACUCGGAGGAAGGUGGGGACGACGUCAAAUCAUCAUGCCCCUUAUGUCUUGGGCUUCACGCAUGCUACAAUGGCCGGUACAAAGGGUUGCGAUACUGUGAGGUGGAGCUAAUCCCAAAAAGCCGGUCUCAGUUCGGAUUGGGGUCUGCAACUCGACCCCAUGAAGUCGGAGUCGCUAGUAAUCGCAGAUCAGCAACGCUGCGGUGAAUACGUUCCCGGGCCUUGUACACACCGCCCGUCAAGUCACGAAAGUUGGUAACACCCGAAGCCGG
rnacentral:rRNA from 1 species